UGUGUGUGUGUGUGUGUGUGUUGCAAUACUGGUCAAAGAUUUAAAGAGAGAUGUAAAAAUAAAUCCUCUUUUGAAACUCAGAACUCCUUAUUCAGUGUGAGUUUUAAUAUACAUGAGGAGGAAUAUA